GAUGAACGCUGGCGGCGUGCUUAACACAUGCAAGUCGAACGGAAAGGCUCCUGCUUUCAGGGGUACUCGAGUGGCGAACGGGUGAGUAACACGUGGGUGAUCUGCCCUUCACUUCGGGAUAAGCCUGGGAAACUGGGUCUAAUACCGGAUAGGACGAUGUGUUGGAUGCCAUUGUGUAGAGUUUUUCGGUGUGGGGGGAGCUCGUGGCCUAUUAGCUUGUUGGGGGGGUAAUGGGCUACCAAGGCGUCUGCGGGGAGGCGGCCAGGGAGGGUGGACGGCCACAUUGGGGCUGAGGUAAGGCCCCAGCUCCUAAGGGGGGGAACAGUGGGGAAGAAUGCAACAUGGGCGCAAGGCUGGUGCAGGGAAGCCGCGGGGCGGAAGACGGCCUUCGGGGUGGAAACCCCUUUCGCUAGGGACGAAGCGUUUUGUGACGGUACCUGGUGAAGAAGCACCGGCUAACUACGUG
rnacentral:rRNA from 1 species